UAAUAGGAAAUCAAGAGCAUAUGGAGGAUGCCUAGACUUUGAAUGGCGAUGAAGGACGUAGCAUAACUGCGAUAAGCUUCGGGGAGGUGUCGAGCAACCUUUGAUCCGGAGAUGUCCGAAUGGGGAAACCCGAUUGAGUAAACCUCAAUCAUCCUGAGCGCAAGCGAAGGAAGCAU
rnacentral:rRNA from 1 species